CGGUUGAUCCUGCCGGAGGACAUUGCUAUUGGGAUUCGAUUUAGCCAUGCUAGUCGAACGAGUUCAGACUCGUGGCGAAUAGCUCAGUAACACGUGGCCAAGCUCCCCUUCAGUCAGCGAUACCCUCGGGAAACUGAGGUUAACAGCUGAUACAAAACGCCAGCUGGAAUGCGGCGUUUCAGAAAGACAUCGCUGAAGGAUGCGGCUGCGGCUGAUUAGGUAGACGGUGGGGUAACGGCCCACCGUGCCAGUAAUCAGUACGGGUGAUGAGAGUCAGAGCCCGGAGACGGAAUCUGAGACAAGAUUCCGGGCCCUACGGGGCGCAGCAGGCGCGAAACCUUUACACUGCACGGAAGUGCGAUAGGGGAAUCCCAAGUGCGAGGGCAUAUUAGCCCUCGCUUUUCUCGACUGUAAGGUGGUCGACGAAUAAGAGCUGGGCAAGACCGGUGCCAGCCGCCGCGGUAAUACCGGCAGCUCAAGUGAUGUCCCAUAUUAUUGGGCCUAAAGCGUCCGUAGCUGGCCGACCAAGUCUACCGGGAAAUCCACCCGCCCAACGGGUGGGCGUCCGGUAGAAACUGGCCGGCUUGGAACCGGAAGGCUCAGAGAGUACGUCCGGGGUAGGAGUGAAAUCCCGUAAUCCCGGACGGACUACCGACGGCGAAAGCACUCUGAGAAGACGGCUUCGACAGUGAGGGACGAAAGCUCGGGUCUCAAACCGGAUUAGAUACCCCGGUAGUC
rnacentral:rRNA from 1 species